rnacentral:rRNA from 1 species
UACGUAGGGGGCAAGCGUUGUCCGGAAUCAUUGGGCGUAAAGAGCUCGUAGGCGGUGUGUCACGUCGUUCGUGAAAACCUGCAGCUUAACUGUGGGCGUGCGGUCGAUACGGGCAUCACUGGAGUUCGGCAGGGGAGACUGGAAUUCCUGGUGUAGCGGUGAAAUGCGUAGAUAUCGUAAGGAAGACCAGUGGCGAAGGCGGGUCUCUGGACAGUUCCUGACGCUGAGGCACGAAGGUCAGGGGAGCAAACGGG